GAUGAACGCUGGCGGCGUGCCUAAUACAUGCAAGUCGAGCGAACAGACGAGGAGCUUGCUCCUCUGACGUUAGCGGCGGACGGGUGAGUAACACGUGGAUAACCUACCUAUAAGACUGGGAUAACUUCGGGAAACCGGAGCUAAUACCGGAUAAUAUAUUGAACCGCAUGGUUCAAUAGUGAAAGACGGUUUUGCUGUCACUUAUAGAUGGAUCCGCGCCGCAUUAGCUAGUUGGUAAGGUAACGGCUUACCAAGGCAACGAUGCGUAGCCGACCUGAGAGGGUGAUCGGCCACACUGGAACUGAGACACGGUCCAGACUCCUACGGGAGGCAGCAGUUGGGAAUCUUCCGCAAUGGGCGAAAGCCUGACGGAGCAACGCCGCGUGAGUGAUGAAGGUCUUCGGAUCGUAAAACUCUGUUAUUAGGGAAGAACAAAUGUGUAAGUAACUAUGCACGUCCUGACGGUACCUAAUCAGAAAGCCACGGCUAACUACGUG
rnacentral:rRNA from 1 species